ACUGGCUCAGGAUGAACGCUGGCGGCAUGCCUAAUACAUGCAAGUCGAACGAGAGGAAGGAAAGCUUGCUUUUCUGAAUCUAGUGGCGAACGGGUGAGUAACACGUAGGUAACCUGCCCAUGUGCCCGGGAUAACUUCUGGAAACGGAUGCUAAAACCGGAUAGGUAGCAGACAAGCAUUUGACUGCUAUUAAAGUGGCCUUGGCCAUGAACAUGGAUGGACCUGCGGUGCAUUAGCUGGUUGGUGAGGUAACGGCCCACCAAGGCGACGAUGCAUAGCCGGCCUGAGAGGGCGGACGGCCACAUUGGGACUGAGACACGGCCCAAACUCCUACGGGAGGCAGCAGUAGGGAAUUUUCGUCAAUGGGGGGAACCCUGAACGAGCAAUGCCGCGUGAGUGAGGAAGGUCUUCGGAUCGUAAAGCUCUGUUGUAAGAGAAAAACGGCACUCAUAGGGAAUGAUGAGUGAGUGAUGGUAUCUUACCAGAAAGUCACGGCUAACUACGUGCCAGCAGCCGCGGUAAUACGUAGGUGGCGAGCGUUAUCCGGAAUGAUUGGGCGUAAAGGGUGCGUAGGUGGCAGAUCAAGUCUGGAGUAAAAGGUAUGGGCUCAACCCGUACUGGCUCUGGAAACUGAUCAGCUAGAGAACAGAAGAGGACGGCGGAACUCCAUGUGUAGCGGUAAAAUGCGUAGAUAUAUGGAAGAACACCGGUGGCGAAGGCGGCCGUCUGGUCUGGAUUCUGACACUGAAGCACGAAAGCGUGGGGAGCAAAUAGGAUUAGAUACCCUAGUAGUCCACGCCGUAAACGAUGAGAACUAGGUGUUGGGGGAAUAACUCAGUGCCGCAGUUAACGCAGUAAGUUCUCCGCCUGGGGAGUAUGCACGCAAGUGUGAAACUCAAAGGAAUUGACGGGGGCCCGCACAAGCGGUGGAGUAUGUGGUUUAAUUCGAAGCAACGCGAAGAACCUUACCAGGCCUUGACAUCCCUUGCAGAGGUAUAGAGAUAUAUCCGAGGUUAUCAAGGAGACAGGUGGUGCAUGGUUGUCGUCAGCUCGUGUCGUGAGAUGUUGGGUUAAGUCCCGCAACGAGCGCAACCCUU
rnacentral:rRNA from 1 species